GGAGAACAAGAUCACAUUGAGUAGUAGGCGGUGAUUCUUCGGUAGAUCGUGCAUCUAUGAGCUGAUCCCGACAUUUGAUGCCGCACAUUGUCGCAUUAUAUAAAUCAUGUAGUGAUCUAGAUGAUGACUGUGAGAGAGAGGAAAAAGAUGCUGUCAAUCAUAUUGAGACUAUAGGUUCUUAAUAGUAGGAACCCCAGCGGACAGGGAAAGAGAGCGAUAGAACUGUUUAAAGAUGGCAUCGGUACGUGAUGCGCCCUUUACAGUCUUUUGUUGACGUUGCUUUAAUAAGCAGCGAAGCACGAUCAAAUGAGUUAGAGCUUCUCGAUACUUUUUCCUUCUAGUGUUUCCUUCGGUUUCAUGGUAGAAUAAUUUAUUUGUGGAUGCAACUCUAAGUAUCCACUGCUUGGUAUUCUUCUGCUACAUCUCAAGUAGCUUGAGAAUCAUUAGCAGUAGAUCAGACAUGUCAUGCAGCUCUCUUUCACGAGAGAGAAAUUGCCACAUGCUGUUCUGUUGGUGUUUGCAUCCUAAAUGAACGUGGAUCUAUAUCCACCAGCAACCUCAACAGGUUUCACUAUGCUGGCAGUGCAUAGAUGAGAAGUAUGAUGAGUUGCACAAGCCCUACUUUGCUCCCGUGUCAUUUGAUGUCCCUGCUAGCCGUUGUUGUCAAACGUGCGGAAAUUCUUGAAUUUGUUCGAGAAAUAUCGUUGAGAAGGAAUGUUAGCAAUCUGGGCUUUAAUUUACUUGUCAAAGAUUGGAAAUUGAACAUGCCACGCUCAAACUACAAAACAACUUAAUUGCAGAUUCUCUUAACUUUUGAUUGUCGAGAUGGGAAUACGAUCCUGCAAAUUGUCUUGGAAGGAUAAGACUGGAGGUUGAGCAUCGCUAGCUUCACCAGUAAAUCGUCUCUUUUUGCACAUGACGAAAGGAUUCAGGUAGUAGAGAAAAAGUUGCCACAACUAUAUAUUAUUGGUCGAUAGCAGAUCACAGAUACCCGGUCGUGAGAGCAAGUCGACUUUUGACUCUUCAAGAGUCGAACAUCUCACUGACUGGUGUCCAUACUAGUUUAUUCAAACACUGUUGUAUAGAGAGAAAGUGAGGCAGCGAGAGUGGCUUUGAUUCACGUAUUCACGGGACAUGGGAAAUUGACUUAGGCGAGAGAACAAUGUACCUCAAACUCAAAACGAUCUUUGCGUCUGUUGUUAUUCAGUCGCUGAAAGUUCUCUCAAA